AUUGAACGCUGGCGGCAGGCUUAACACAUGCAAGUCGAACGUGGGGCGGGCGGGUGAGUAAUGCGGGGGACUCUAGGUUAUGGAGGGGGAUAACUACGGAAAGAUGUAGCAAAUACCGCGUAACAUAGGAUGAGCACAAUGGGGAAUAGGUAGUUGGUGAGGUAAAGGCUCACCAAGCCGACGAUCUCUAGCUGGUCUGAGAGGAUGACCAGCCCCACUGGGACUGAGACACGGCCCAGACUCCUACGGGAGGCAGCAGUGGGGAAUAUUGCGCAAUGGGGGCAACCUGACGCAGCCAUGCCGCGUGUAUGAAGAAGGCCUUCGGGUUGUAAAGUUCUUUCGGUGGCGAGGCGUUAACUGCAGAAGAAGCACCGGCUAACUCCGUGCCAGCAGCCGCGGUAAUUC
rnacentral:rRNA from 1 species